GAACCCACUUUUCUUCCCUCUCCCGCUGCUUGUGCGAUCUCCCCCUUGCCCUUGGUCGCACGCCUCCCCUAUCUCUCUCUGCAGUGCCGCACCCCAACUCCUCCUUCCAGCCGUGAGCUGAUCUACAUCUCUCUCAAAACAAAUUCCUAAUCUAUUGGGAGUCCAAUUUUUAUCCCUUUGAAACCUUAUCUAUUCCCCUUUUAUAGGAGAUAGAUAACUAGAUUUAUUUCUAGUUCUCUCCUAUAAAUAGACCCCCAACUCCCCACCUUUUCCCUGUUUUUUAGCCGUGCUGCCCACAUCGUCGCUCUGCUUCGUAGGCACCGCCUCCUGACCAGCAAGCCGCCGGCUGUCUCCUCUGUGCUGCUGCUGUCCU
rnacentral:lncRNA from 1 species